AGAGAGAAUGAGAUCACUUCAUUGUCUGUCUGCAUCUGAGCUUUGGCUGCAGGUAGCAGAGGACUCUUUCAGGUCCCAUGGAGCAUGAAGACUAGUAGCUCUGCAGGCACCAGCCUAUGCCUCUGUGUUUGCAGAGUGCUUCCUGUUUGGACUUCCAUGAGCUUUUUUUUAAUCCUUCACUUGCUUAAGUGAUGGUUCAACUGGACAAAAGGUAUGUAUCUUUUGUUAUCUUCAAGGAGAGAUGUAUAAAGAUGUUAAAAACACAAGAAUGGCUGUGCAAAGCCAGACUGAUGGUCUGUCUAGCCCAGUAUUCUCUUUAUGACAUGCACCAACAGUAAGCAUUCAUGGGAGGGGAUAACAGUGCAGUCUCAAAGCAGUCUCUCGGGCCCUUUCCCUGGUGAUUUUCUCAUUGAACCAGCAGCAAUGCCUUUCCAUUCGAUAUCCAUCACUGGCAUUUUCUUCAGUGAAUUCUUCUGAUUUGCUUUUGAGCCCUCAGACACGCUUAGCAACCACAGCAUCCUGUGGCCAGGCAUUCCAUAACUUAAUUGUAUAUAUGAAGAAGUAACUCUUUGUUUGAACUUCUGUCAUUCAGGCCUCCUAAUUUCAUUUGAUACCCCCCUGUUACUGUGCUAGAGGAGGCAGCAAAGAGUAAUUCCAUACUUACUUUCUCUCUGCCAUUCAUGAUUUUAUAGACCCUAUAUUAUAUCCUCUUUUCCCAGAUGAAGAAUCUCAGUCCUUUUAGCAAUUCUUUUUAUGAAAAAAAAAAAAAAAAAAAAAAAAAAUCUCAUUUCACUGUUCUUUUUCUACUUCUAUUAUAUACUUUGGGAAUCCUGCACAGUAUUCAGGAUGCAGAAGCGUUAUGGAUUUAUAGUGACACAGUUGGCCUCUAGAUUGUUCUGUAUCUGUUUCCAGCAGUUGUUGAUGUUGACUUGUUUUUCUCACCACUGUGAAUUGUUCUGCUGAAUGUGACAAUCUGUGACUAUGGCUGUGUGUCAUGACUCCAAGAUCUUUGUGUCCCCUCAGUGAUUAAGACCAGAUCAGAGCUCACUGAUGGGUCAGUAUUUAUUCCCCCAUGUGAACUGUUUUGCAUUUGUCAACACUGGUUUGCCUCUGCCAUUUUAUUACCCAAUGCUUCCAUAGCAUAAGGCAUCUCUACAACUCUUCAGAAUCAGAUUUUGUUCUUGUUACACCACAUAAACAAACAUUGCAGGCAAUGUUAUUUGUUCUCAUUUUCUAAUGGUUUUGAAAAUAGCCUACAGUACAGUAUAUGUGUUAGGUAUUCAGAAAGGGUAGCACCUGAUACCACAGAGUAAUGCCAGAACCAACCACCAGGGCAGCAUAUGGAUUCAUCCUCUCAAAAGGAGAGAGAAGGAGCUCUGAAAAGAGACCUCAGUCUUCUUACUGGCCUUUUGGAGCUUCAGAGAUAGCCUUGACUCCUUCACUUCUCUUCAAGAAAGUUGAAGUGUGUUAGUGAGGUACCUGAACUGAAAUCAGAAUCCCCUUGGGCUUCAUCAGUAGCCAACAGUGGUGUUCAUUGCAGUUUACAGGGAACAAUUUGCAAGAAGUUUGGUUCCAGAUCUCCUAUCAGAAAUGCAGUUCUUCCCCUGCACAGUGCUGUUGGGUUGCACAGAGAAUCAGCCUGCAGUUUGGAGCAGAAGUAUUGCCUUUGUCUUGUGUCUCGUGUCUUGUGUCUCAUCUUGUAUCCUGUGCAUACUUUAUCACAAAAAUUCUUGGAAAUUUCUCAUUUUACAUGUUGAACAAUUAAAAAAAAAAAAAAAAAAAAAAA